rnacentral:rRNA from 1 species
GAUCAUGGCUCAGGAUGAACGCUGGCGGCGUGCUUAACACAUGCAAGUCGAACGAAGCAAUCUAACGGAAGUUUUCGGAUGGAAGCUAGAUUGACUGAGUGGCGGACGGGUGAGGUAACGCGUGGGUAACCUGCCUCACACUGGGGGACAACAGUUAGAAAUGACUGCUAAUACCGCAUAAGCGCACAGGACCGCAUGGUCCGGUGUGAAAACUCCGGUGGUGUGAGAUGGACCCGUCG